AUAACUCAAAGAAAAGAAAUGAAGGACCAUUUUUUUUAAAAAAGGCAAUUUGCAUUAUUAUACCAACAGGAGGGCUAGAUGCCAAAGGACAAAUUGACUGCACCUUCUGAAUACUCAUCCAAUGUAUCAACUACUCUAAUGUGGCUAAUUCCUCAAAAAAAUGAUAGAUUGCAGGGAGUGUUUUUAUUUGUACAGGGAUUGAUUUUAUUUGCUCCUGAUAUUUGCCUUCUCCCGGAUAGCAUUCAUGUAAACCUGCCACAAAACCAAUUAUCAAUCCCUCAAUUCAAUUGAUGUAAGAUGCAAUGCAGAGAUGUCUUGCUUAUCUGAAUACUAUAACAGAGUAUCUGCGUACUAUAUCAAGAGGAGCUUGGCGCAGCAGCAUGGUUGGCUUGUCCUAGAUCCAAACUGAUCCCGAACGAGAGGCCGAUUCUAAAGCCAUGAAGGCCCUGAAAUCGCCAGAUCCAGGUGCAUCUCAAGAUGGCAGAGGAGCGGAGGAGCUGUGGGCCGACCCGUUUGUAGGGUGCCUGUUGGCUUGGAAGGGUGAGGCGGCGUCCGUGGUGGAGGAGAAAAGGAGCUGCAGAUCCAUGGCGUCCUUCACAUCUUCGUGAAGAAGCCCUUGACGGCGACAACCAUGGUGGAUGGGGAACUCCCAUGGCGUCGAAGGUGAGGUGUAGGGGUGGUGGAUCCCGACCAGGUAGGAAGAGGGACGAACCCGGGGCCGCCAGAGACGCGGCGGCGAAGCCCUGCCCCAAACCCAGCCACAAGGGUGGCGUUGCGACCGGGCGGUAGAGGUCGGGAGCGCAGAAUCUGGCCGGAGGGGAGGGAGACGCGGACCGUGGGGAGCUCUGGGGUGUGUUGUGCGGCGACGGAGCUCGCCGGAGAUUGCCACAGCGUGGGUGGUGGUGGCGGCGGCAGCGACGAGGACUUGGGCGAGAGGGAGAGGAGGCGAGCCCGUGC
rnacentral:lncRNA from 1 species